AUUGAACGCUGGCGGCAGGCCUAACACAUGCAAGUCGAGCGGAUGAAGAGAGCUUGCUCUCUGAUUUAGCGGCGGACGGGUGAGUAAUGCCUAGGAAUCUGCCUGGUAGUGGGGGAUAACGUCCGGAAAGGAACGCUAAACCCGCGUCCGUCCUAGGGGAAAAAGCAGGGGACCUUCGGGCCUUGCGCUUCCAGUUGAGCCAAGUUGGGAUUACCUAGUUGGUGAGGUAAUGGCUCACCAAGGCUACGAUCCGUAACUGGUCUGAGAGGAUGAUCAGUCACACUGGAACUGAGACACGGUCCAGACUCCUACGGGAGGCAGCAGUGGGGAAUAUUGGACAAUGGGCGAAAGCCUGAUCCAGCCAUGCCGCGUGUGUGAAGAAGGUCUUCGGAUUGUAAAGCACUUUAAGUUGGGAGGAAGGGCGUUUGGCUAAUAUCCAGGCGUUUUGACGUUACCAACAGAAUAAGCACCGGCUAACUUCGUGCCAGCCGCCGCCGUAAUAC
rnacentral:rRNA from 1 species